AUGGAGCUUCAGAAGUUAAUACUGAUGAUCCAAUAUAUGAUGCGGCUAAAUCACCCAUUUUUCCUCUCACUGUGGUUUCUGAGGUUGCUUCGAGCCUUGAGAAUAUUUCAAGCGUCGAGGCUCUUGCUUCUGCAACUCUUGCUUCACCUAAUAUCAGAGACGCGGUCGCAGUAUGUUGAUGGCACUGAACCUAUCACACAACCUGAGGAUGUGCCUCUUCAGCUUUUUCUGGAGGACCAACGCAAGAGGAAGAAGCAAGAAGAUUUUGAAGAGAAGAGGGUGGCCCACCUUCAGGAAGGUUCUGAUGUCCCUGAAUUUGUUGAUGUUGCUGAGCUCACAGUUUGGCAUUGCUCUGUUGCUGAGGAAGACGUGUCGUGCGGCACUGAUGGCACGGUUGUCCCUGUUAAGAAGAAAAUCAAGAAGACCGCUGCGAGGAAGCAUUUGGUUGGUGAUGUUACUCCUCGGAGGAGCCCACGCGUUUCAAGGCCUGCAGAACUUGCUGAAGAGGAAGUGCUAGCCCUCGGUGGUAUGCCACGCCAUAGUCCACGUGUGCUUGCCACUGCCGCGCCUACACCUUCCCCGCUUGGUGCUAGUGCAUCUGGUAAGGGGAAGAAAUGCGGCGUUAAGCGCAAGGUUGCACCUGCAAAGGUCAACAAGGGUGCCAAGAAGCAUUAUCAUGUUAAUCCAGAGGACAAGGACGAUGCUGAUUUCAACGCUGAUGACGAGGACAACGAUGAUGAUGUUAAUCAGUAUCAGCUUGUGGAGCGGCCUCAGAGGAGGAAGAGAGGAGGCAAAGCGCCCGAAGAAGGUGGCCAAGGAGGAGAUAAGGUGAAACGUUUUAACAAGACGGUUCGCUGCUCACUAGGAGAGGUCAAGACGUGUGCGAAAAUGCUACAACUUAGGCACAAGACGAGGGUUAUCAAGGCUAGUUUUGGUUGUGUGUUUGACUUGAAGGUUGAUUCCAACAUUUCUCGUCCUUUGAUGGGCAACAUCUACAUGAGGAUUGACCCUACAACCAUGAUUCUGGACAUGGGUGAGGUGAACAAGGUUCUGUGUAUUACAAGUGAUGCUAUUCACCAUCUGUUUGGAUUCCCUCAGGGUAAUCAUACCCCUCCUAGGACCUCGAAUGAUGGGUUUGAUGAUGUUGUUAUGAGGCUGAAGGGCAAGCUUGGGUACGCUAGGAGUGAUGACAUCAAGACAAAUGAUCUGCGGAAUAUCCUCGCGGAACUUGUGAAGGAUGAGAUGAAGGAUGAUCUUGCUAUGCAGAUAUGGAUUACUAGCAGAGGAAAAGCUGUCAUAGGUUGUGCCAUCGCGCCGCUUCUUAUGUAUCUGGACUGCCUUAUCAUUGGCAAGAUGCCUAAUAUUGACUUGAGGACCCCUUGCAUCAAUUUCAUGGAUCAAGUCAAGCUUCUUGAGCUUGCUGCGGCUGACUUGGUCAAGAAGGGUGAUGAUGACCCAGCCAACUGGGUGUUUGGGAGACUGCAUUGGAAGACAAAGGCUGAGGUUAUGUUCUUUAGGCGUAUCGAACUUCCUGUUCUUACUAUGCCUUGUGUCGCCGACCUAGGGAGUGGAACUUCUCCAAGAUUUGAAUUCUCCCGGGAUAAUGCUCGUUGCAAGCCUUUUGAAGAUGAGGCAAGUGUUGUUGUGAGACAAAUUCAGAGGCAGGAUUUUGUUCGUUCGGGUCGUGAAGGAGGCCACAAGGAGCAUACUGAAAAGGCUGUUGAUGAUGGUGCUAGGGUUGAGGAGGAUGUUUUACCUGUGCAUGAAGCUGCCCCUAUUCAUGAACCUGCUCCCGCUAGUGAUGUAUUAGUUGAUGAGGUUCAUGGAAGUGAAAAUAAGAAUGAUGAUGCUAGUGUUCCUCAAGAGAAGGUUGCAGACAAGUCCGUGUCAGGCACCGACUGCUCCGACGGGGUGGACCUGACUGAACCUGGAGAUAUAAAUUUGGAGAAAGAUGUCAUCGAGGCUGCUAUUGAGACUGGUGGUAGUGCUGCUGCAGGCUCGGAGAAGUCUCAUGCAGCAGAGCCAUCAGUUGCUAUUGAUGUUGGUUCUCCAGCUCUUCCUAGUGCAGGAGAACCAAUGGUUUUUGUUGUUUCAGAUUUUCCAUCUGCUCUAGCUGCUGCUUGUGUGUCCUUCCCGACGACGCUGCAAUGUCUACUGGAGAUGACAAUGAAGAGACUGAAAGCAAUAGCCUCGGAGAGGAGAUCAAUGAUUAUGUUCCAAAACAAGGAGUGUGAAGCUUUUGUUGAAGAUGUCGCAAUAUAUUUUGCUCCUCGUGGAAUGCUUCGAUCUAAUGUGGCUGAGGUUGCACUCUAUUGUCUACGUGUGAAGUACCAGGGAUUGGACAAACUCAUCCUGCCUUAUGGGUUUGUGACAAGAUUUUCAAAGGUUGUUUUCCCCACUUUUGACCCGCCUGAAAUUCCUGCUUCCAUGGAUGGUGUUGGUCACUGGGUUUCGAUAUUUCUUGACCUGAAGAAUUCAAGGUUCCAGCUUCUCGACUCCUACUAUGGACCAGACGUGGAUCCGUUGGACUUGACCGAUUACCACUACUCAUUCCUCGGGUCACAGGAAUACCAGCCUAGGGAGGAAUCGAUGAGUACAACUCUGAGAGAAGAUGAUAGACCUCGAACCCUUAUUCCUUCCAAGUUGGCUAAGCAGGCUGGUGGUAUUUGUGGUACUCCAAAAACCCCUUGCUCCAGGAAGGCUAGUGCAGUCGAAGGAGCCGAAGCAGAAGUGAUUUUGUCUGAUGAUGAUUUUGAGAAGAUUGCUUACCCGAAGAAUGGUAAAUCUAUUGCUGAGAUGCUACUUUAUACUGAACUUCUGUUGUUGUACACAAGCUACUGCAUGUUUACUAUCCCUGGGAAUGUGAUUAACCUCACAGGACAUGUCCUUUAUACUCUUUUCGGUGAAGGGCAGCAGAUGGAAGGAGACAUAAUGGAUUAUCUCAUAAAUUUGUGGAACGAUAAGCUAGAGACCUCUGAGAUAUUCACUAGUGCUGACAGGGUUGUACUUAGUCCCUACUUCAUACAUGUUUUUUUGAUACUAUUCAAGCCAAUUGGCACAAUGGCACACUAUAGUGUGUAUGUGCUGAAUAGAUAUCGUGGAAGCAUUGACAUCCUUGAUUCACUUCCUUACACUAAUAUGGCAAUGUCACGAACAAGUUUCCAUGGAGACUGCCAAAAUAUCCAGAUUAACAGAUUUGUUGGGUUGCUCGAGGAGGUGUACAGCAAGGCUGCAUACAAAGCGAGAAAGCAGCCUAACUGGGUGACUAUUGCAAAGAGGCCGACUUUUAUCGAUGUUCCAAAGCAAAAGAAUAAUGAUUGUGGUUUCUUUGUCGUGAAGUUUUGCUCUUCAUAUGAUGGCGAUGAGCUUGUUGAUGAUUGUGGUGAUGUGGAGGCUGCUGCAGAUGACAGGAAGGCUGAGUUCAUGCACACUCUAAUGUUUAGCGAGAAGAAUGAAGUCGUGCGUGCAGAGCUCCCUAAAGAGAUCCAGUCCUUGGGUCCGUGA
rnacentral:rRNA from 1 species